GUGCAUGGCUAGGCUGCUGAUACAUGCAGUCGAGCGGACCGACGGGAGCUUGCUCCCUUAGGUCAGCGGCGGACGGGUGAGUAACACGUGGGUAACCUGCCUGUAAGACUGGGAUAACUCCGGGAAACCGGGGCUAAUACCGGAUGCUUGAUUGAACCGCAUGGUUCCAUUCUUAAAGGGGGGUUUUAGCUUCCCCUUUACGAAGGGCCCGGGGGGGCUUAACUUAGUGGGGGGGGAACGGGUUCCCCAGGGGAACAAGGGGAACCCAACUGGAAAGGGGGUCGGGCCCCCUGGGGAUGGAAACCGGGCCCAAAUCCUUAGGGAAGGAACCAGAAGGGAUCCUCCCCAAUGGGAGAAAGGCUGAAGGAACAACCCCCCGGGAAUGGUGGAGGGUUUCGGAUCGGAAAACUCUGUUGGUAGGGGAAAACCAAGACCGUUCGAGUAGGGGCGGGACCUUGGCGGUACCCUACCCGAAAGCGCGGUUACUACGUGCAGCAGCCCGCGGUAAUACGUAGGUGGCAAGCGUUGUCCGGAAUUAUUGGGCGUAAAGCGCGCGCAGGCGGUUUCUUAAGUCUGAUGUGAAAGCCCCCGGCUCAACCGGGGAGGGUCAUUGGAAACUGGGGAACUUGAGUGCAGAAGAGGAGAGUGGAAUUCCACGUGUAGCGGUGAAAUGCGUAGAGAUGUGGAGGAACACCAGUGGCGAAGGCGACUCUCUGGUCUGUAACUGACGCUGAGGCGCGAAAGCGUGGGGAGCGAACAGGAUUAGAUACCCUGGUAGUCCACGCCGUAAACGAUGAGUGCUAAGUGUUAGAGGGUUUCCGCCCUUUAGUGCUGCAGCAAACGCAUUAAGCACUCCGCCUGGGGAGUACGGUCGCAAGACUGAAACUCAAAGGAAUUGACGGGGGCCCGCACAAGCGGUGGAGCAUGUGGUUUAAUUCGAAGCAACGCGAAGAACCUUACCAGGUCUUGACAUCCUCUGACAACCCUAGAGAUAGGGCUUCCCCUUCGGGGGCAGAGUGACAGGUGGUGCAUGGUUGUCGUCAGCUCGUGUCGUGAGAUGUUGGGUUAAGUCCCGCAACGAGCGCAACCCUUGAUCUUAGUUGCCAGCAUUCAGUUGGGCACUCUAAGGUGACUGCCGGUGACAAACCGGAGGAAGGUGGGGAUGACGUCAAAUCAUCAUGCCCCUUAUGACCUGGGCUACACACGUGCUACAAUGGGCAGAACAAAGGGCAGCGAAGCCGCGAGGCUAAGCCAAUCCCACAAAUCUGUUCUCAGUUCGGAUCGCAGUCUGCAACUCGACUGCGUGAAGCUGGAAUCGCUAGUAAUCGCGGAUCAGCAUGCCGCGGUGAAUACGUUCCCGGGCCUUGUACACACCGCCCGUCACACCACGAGAGUUUGUAACACCCGAAGUCGGUGAGGUAACCUUUGGAGCCAACCACCGAGUAGAGUUACCGCCCG
rnacentral:rRNA from 1 species